UACUAAGUAGAGUCUAAGAGA
rnacentral:miRNA from 1 species